rnacentral:lncRNA from 10 species
AGCCGAGAUCGCGCCACUGCACCCCAACCUGGCGACAGAGCGAGUCUCCGUCCCGCCGCAAAAGAAAGUACCUUGUAGAGAGUGCAGCUUUAGAGUGGACUCUAUGAUUUAGACCUCUGCAUGGUUGAGGCUCCCAAUGCAGUUGUGUUGUGGGGAGGGGUGCUGGGCUGAGAGGGGAGCUGCAGACAUCACCUGCUGCAGAUCACCUUCACCGCAUUGGCCGUUUUCCCUAGCAUUUGUGUGAGAGAGUCCAGGAGAUGAUAAAGUGGCUCUCUUUUUUAUUUUGUUUGCCCUUUUUUCUUUUUCUUUUUCUUUUUUUUUCCUGACACAGGGUUUCACUUUUGUUGCCUGGGCUGGAGUACAGUGGUGCAGUCUCGGCUCAC